AGCAGCCGCGGUAAUUCCAGCUCCAAUAGCGUAUAUUAAAGUUGUUGCAGUUAAAAAGCUCGUAGUUGAAUUUCGGGAUCAAGGAAUCGGUCAUGCCUUGGUAUGUACUGGUUUUAUUGGUUCUCACCUUCUAAAGAACCAUGAUGUCAUUCAUUUGAUGUUAUGGGGAAUUAGGACUGUUACCUUGAAAAAAUUAGAGUGUUUAAAGCAGGCUCACGCUUGAAUACAUUAGCAUGGAAUAAUGAAAUAGGACGUUUGAUUCUAUUUUGUUGGUUUCUAGGAUCGACGUAAUGAUUAAUAGGGAUAGUUGGGGGCAUUAGUAUUCAAUUGUCAGAGGUGAAAUUCUUGGAUUUAUUGAAGACUAACUACUGCGAAAGCAUUUGCCAAGGAUGUUUUCAUUAAUCAAGAACGAAAGUUAGGGGAUCGAAGACGAUCAGAUACCGUCGUAGU
rnacentral:rRNA from 1 species